rnacentral:rRNA from 1 species
UACGAAGGGGGCUAGCGUUGCUCGGAAUCACUGGGCGUAAAGGGUGCGUAGGCGGGUCUUUAAGUCAGGGGUGAAAUCCUGGAGCUCAACUCCAGAACUGCCUUUGAUACUGAGGAUCUUGAGUUCGGGAGAGGUGAGUGGAACUGCGAGUGUAGAGGUGAAAUUCGUAGAUAUUCGCAAGAACACCAGUGGCGAAGGCGGCUCACUGGCCCGAUACUGACGCUGAACGCACGAAAGCGAUGGGGGAGCAAAC